CCGCGACGCCUCCGAAGACGAAUCGUGCGGAGAAUUUAGCCGGUGUGAACGUUCGCUAACACGAGGCGUGCCGUGUUCGAUCGUGAUCGGAGACGUGCAUUUUUGCGAUGUGCAGUGGGUGAAAUUUGUUCCGCACCUUUUCUCAAGGCCGAACGAUAUUUCUUGGAGAGGAAGACGAAGGAAUCUAGCGACCUAGCCGGCAGGAUCCAUUGUUAUCUGGAGGCCAGAAACGUUAGCGGGGCAACAUCAACAGCAACAGCGACAGCAACAGCAACAGCAACAGCGACUGCGAUUGCUACAGCUACAGCUACAGCGACACCAACAUCGACAUCAUCGACAUCGACAACGGCAACUGCAACAACACCAACGAGGUUAAUGUGAAUGACAUUGGAUAAUGCAGCCAAUGAGGAGUCAAUGACGCGACUCGCUUAAGAAAAUCGUGUUGCUAGCCGAUUACCGACGAUGAUCAUCGUGGACUAUUCAAAGAGGACUAUUAUCACAAUUACUGAAAGUACGUGACCCAGUUUGAAGUGUCAUCGUCGAAUCGAUCUAAAAAAAAAAAAAAGAGAUAAUAAUAACGAAUUUGAUAAAUCGAGUCUCUCUCUCUCUCUCUCUCUCUCUCUCUAUUUCUCUCUCUUUCUCUCUCUCUCUCUCUCUCUCUCUCUGUCUCUCUAAACUUUACUAUUUUCAUCCUUUCAUUUAAUUUCCUUUUCGCGACCAAACUAUAACAGCGUAUACCCCUUCGAUUUACCCGCGCACCGUCCAUCUUCCAACUCUCACAAUCACCACCUUCCCAUCAUUUCUGUAAAUAGAAUGAUCCCGUCGGUUGUGUUUGUAAAAGAUAAAAAGGAAAUAAUAUCGUCGAGUAUCAAGCCCUUCCUUUCCAUCUGGCAUUUUUCUCUCGUGCGAUAGAAAAGAAGGAAAAAGGAGAGCAAACAAGAAAGGAAAGAAAAAACUGAAAGAAAGAAAGAAAGAAAGAAAGAAAGAGAAUAAAGGUGAGAAAGAAAGAGAAAGAAAAAGAGAAAAAGAGAAAAAGAGAAAAAGAAAGAGAGAGAGAGAGAAAGAGAGAAAGAGAGAAGGAACACGAUAGCGAACGACACGGGUUCGCGUCUAUACUCCCGAACGCGAAAAGUCAUUAGUCGUUUCUUUAUGUUCUACCGGCGAUAAACUUAUCGUGCACGAAUAGCUUCGCGAGUAAAAGGAGAACUUAGAGUUGGAGAGGUUGUGGAUGAAAGAGAGAGAGAGAGAGAGAGAGAGAGUGAGAAUGAAAGAGAAAGAUAGAUAGAUAGAAAGAAAGAGAAAGAGAGAGACGACUAGACGAAGGUGGAAUGGGUGGAUACGGUGGUGGUGUAUGUACAUUUUGGAAUUUUCCAAUUGGCAGGCACGCGUCGUCGCGUGUUACGAACGAAUUAGCGCAAAACUUUCGACUCUAACUCGACUCUAGCCGUUCGGCUUGGUUUCUUGGACAGCCGAUUUAUCCGUCGUCGCGUUACGAUUUUCUCCUCGAAAGAGUAAGAGUAAGAGAGAGAGAGAGAGAGAGAGAGAGAGACAGAGAGAGAGAGAGACAGAAAGAGAAAGAGAGAGUGUUUAACGACUUAUCUUUAAUCGGUACUUAGUCUUACUAGUCGAGUAUUGAAUUUUACAAAAAAAAAAAAAAGAAGAAGAAGAAAAAAGAACAAAAAAAUACUAAAUUCGUUCAAAGUAAUGUCUCUCGCGUCAAGUCGCCAAUUCGCGAAAAAAGAAAAAGAACGAGGAUAUAAAAAAAUAAGAAAAUAAAAAGAAGAAGAUGGAAUGAAAAGGAGAAAGAGAAAGAAGAAAAUGGAUAUAGAGAAUUAGGAAAAGAAAGAGAUAUAGGACAGGGGGGAGGGGAGGAGGAGGGGGGUGUGGGAGUGCGAGAAGACGAUGAGUGGAAAAUAACGACGGUGUUGAACGAUGUCACCGUACGAAAGUUAAAACCAAUAGAUCGAUCUAAUAAAUCCAUCGAUCGAUCGAUCGAUCUAUCCGUCUG